UUCUCCCUCUUUCUCUCCCCCCCUCCCCCUCUUCUAUCCCACUCCGUUUCGCGUGCAUCAUACCCAUACAGGUGGUCCUCCACCUCGAUGCAGCGGAUCGCACAGCCCGAUCCAGGAAUUUUUCCGGAUCGGUCAAUCGAACGCUUAGCGGUCGGCUCGCCUCCCCUAGCUCGCUUCUUGCUCCUUCGAAUGCGUAAUACGUAAUUAUCUCAAGGCUCUCCCUCCCUCUCUCCCUCUUCCCCCCACCCCCUUGUCCCGAUAGUCACGUACGAUAGGUACGUAUCACGGGGUGGUUGGGUUGGCGGUGCACACGGAAGAAGAGAAAAAGAGGCACGGGAUGCACCGUGGAGGAAAUGUAUUCACGUUCCACACCGGUUCGAUAUCGAAUUCGAUGCAGGGCAGAGAGACACGCAGCAACGAAGGAGGAUCGUGCCGAGCCGAUUUUCAUCCCGUACUCGUGGAUUCGUUGGAUUGGGAUCGCGGCACUGCGUGUUUCCGCGGCGGCGAUGGAUUGGGAAUCGAUUCUGCUCCCUGUAUCGUUUAGUCUGCUUCCGACGUUCGAGUACUAAAGUCGUUGUUGCCGCUCUCGUCGGUCGCGCCGCGUAAAUACGAUCGGCCACGUGUUCGCAGCGUUCUCUCCUCACUCGUGCCCCCCCCCCCCCUCCCUCCUUCUCCCCUCCCCGCGCGAGGAGAGAGAACAUUCGAUCGUCGAUUAGAAACGUACGGUGGCGCGAUUCGCUACGCCCGUUUUCUCGUUUUAUCGUCACCACGUGCAAAUGCGACAUAGCCGGUGGACGUCAUCGAGGAAGGCUGUUGCACCCGUCGUCCAUCGAAGGUCGAAUAUCGACACUCGCCGGCAUGGAGAAAUUAGGUGAACCGCUCGAGCGAGAAUUUUUUUCCCCUCCAUUGUACAAUGUAAGAACGAAGUGCGCAGGGAUCGUGUAAGUUCACGUGUAUCAUUGAGGAAAGGAACUUGGUCCGCGGCGAGAAUUUCUGGUGUUACGUAACGGAGAAAUAGAACGAACGAGAUCAACGCGUGUUGGGUGACGACGUUUUCUUCUUUCGUUUUUCUUUUCUUUUCUUUUCUUUUUUUUUUUUUUUUUUUUCUUUGCUUCCCUUUCCUCCCCUCGGAACGUUCGAACCACGAUAAGAAGGGGGAUCACCACGUGUCGAUUCGUUUUAUACGUGAUUUAUAAGUGCGAUGUUUAUUAAGUUCGACUCGAUAAAUAUACGAGUUCCGCGAAAAGAAUCUUCCAGUGAAAGCGAGAUCAGCGCUAAGUGUUUGUGAAAUCGUGAAACUGCGAAACCAACCACGUGUGUGACAUCUAUUACCAAGGUGGAUCGUAAAAUCGUAAAACCGUGCCUUUUGUUUCUUGUUCUGGAGAGGAGCGAGGCGACGAUUUCUCGACACGCGAAGCGCGAUUUUCGUAGGAAUCCUCGUUUCAUCGAUCUGCAGGGAGACCCAGUUACGCCUCCUGUUGAAUGCAAUUUAUCGGAUUAAAGGGGAGCUCCACAUGAAAUUGGCAUCAGCCAGGGAAUGUUAACACGGUGUAAGAAGAGGAGAAGGAAGAAGCAGGCAUUCAGGAGAAUUUAUCUCCAACGCGGAACCAACACGUGGUGCUUGUGGUACAUAUACACGCACGCACGAUAAGGCUGAUUUCGUUCCCCGUGUCCUCGAAGGAAGAAUGAAAAGAAGGAGACGAAGAAGGAGCCGGAGAAAACGAGAACUAAUGAGCGGCGCGGCUGAUCCCGCAGUGGCGAGGUCGCGAGGGAUCGUGGCGUGAGGAGAGGAGAGGAGAGGAGAGGAGAGGAGAGGAGAGCGGAGCGAAGGUUGGGAAGAAAGCGAAGCGUUGGGGAGGGAGAUAGAAAAGAGAAAUUUGUCGAGGGUGGAAGGAAGAAAAAGGCGGAAAGGAAGGCGUGACGAAAGAGGAGAAAAUAACGAGCAAAUAAACCGGAACGGGACGGAAGAGCGAGGAGGAGGAGGAGGAGGAGGAAUCGUGAGGCGGGCGCGUGUGCAACAGGCGAUUUCUGACCGAUUCAUCUUGGCAGGUUUGCAGGUGUUCGCGUGCGUCCUUCGUGGCCUCGUUAACGCGGGCUUCCUCUUUCUCUAGCCUGGCCUCCCUAGCUCCUUUUCGAUCGUUUCCUUCGACCUUGGUCCGGAUGGAGGCACAGGGAAUUAUCCGGGGAAAAUAAUAGGCAACGGUUCCGAAUAGAGACGAAACGGACCAAUAGAGCGGUAUAUAUAUAUAUAUAUAUAUAUACGCACGCUACGUAUAUACGUAUACGUAGUAUACAUAAAAGAAAAGAAGAGCGAGGUUGUUGCGA